GCAGGGUGGGGCUGGGGUGGGGAUUUCUCUGCAGCACCUUGCUAGC
ensembl:miRNA